AUUGAACGCUGGCGGCAGGCCUAACACAUGCAAGUCGAACGAGUGGCGUACGGGUGAGUAAUGUCUGGGAAACUGCCUGAUGGAGGGGGAUAACUACUGGUAACGGUUGCUAAUACCGCCUACCAUCGGAUGUGCCCAGAUGGGAUUAGCAAGUAGGUGGGGUAAAGGCUCCCCUAGGAGACGAUCCCUAGCUGGUCUGAGAGGAUUACCAGCCACACUGGGACUGAGACACGGUCAAGACUCCUACGGGGGGCAGCAGUGGGGAAUAUUGCACAAUGGGCGCAAGCCUGAUGCAGCCAUGCCGCGUGUAUGAAGAAGGCCUUCGGGUUGUAAAUUACUUUCAGCGGAGAGGCGUUACCCAAAGAAAAAGCACCGGCUAACUCCGUGCCAGGAGCCGCGGUAAUAC
rnacentral:rRNA from 1 species